rnacentral:rRNA from 1 species
GAUGAACGCUGGCGGCGUGCCUAAUACAUGCAAGUCGAGCGGACAGACGCGGAGCUUGCUCCUCUGACGUUAGCGGCGGACGGGUGAGUAACACGUGGAUAACCUACCUAUAAGACUGGGAUAACUUCGGGAAACCGGAGAUAAUACCGGAUAAUAUAUUGAACCGCAUGGUUCAAUAGUGAAAGACGGUUUUGCUGUCACUUAUAGAUGGAUCCGCGCCGCAUUAGCUAGUUGGUAAGGUAACGGCUUAUCAAGGCGACGAUGCGUAGCCGACCUGAGAGGGUGAUCGGCCACACUGGAACGGAGACACGGUCCAGACGCCUACGGGAGGCAGCAGUAGGGAAUCUUCCGCAAUGGGCGAAAGCCUGACGGAGCGACGCCGCGUGAGUGAUGAAGGUCUUCGGAUCGUAAUACUCUGUUAUUAGGGAAGAACAAAUGUGUAAGUAACUAUGCACGUCUUGACGGUACCUAAUCAGAAAGCCACGGCUAACUACGUG